GGUUAAGGAGCUGCUUCUGCUCUCAAGUACGCUCCCCCCUCCCGGCGUGGUGUGCGGGAUCGUGCUUGGAAGGGAGGAAGCGGAUACCGAAAGCGACUGCUGAUGAACUGUCCAAACCCUUCGAAAAAACUUCGAGGCUCCGAGGCGGCUCAUCCAUAAACACCCCCGGAUGAAGGAGGAGGAUGGAGGAGGCACAGAGAGAAGGAGGGUGGGGGGGACGCAGAGGCACAGCCGCCCCUCGUUCCCCUUUGAUCCGAGGGGCUGCGGAGGUGUGCCGUGGCGCCGAGCAAAGCUACCCCGGGUCAGGGAGCUGCGCAGCGGAGAAGAGAGAGAACGGUUCCAAUCCCACUAAUUCACAACCUCUGCCUUCACGACCCGGGCUGAACUUCCCCCAUCCCCAAGCCAAGCGCUGCUGAAACAUACCCCAAGCCCCGAAGCAGAGAGGACAGUGGUAUGAACGCAAAACUGAAACCGCAAUAAUGAAGAGAUUUCCUAGAAUAAAAUCGAUGAUUACAGAACAACGUCUGAGUAACCAAAUCUGCCAAAAAGUUCAAUUUCCGUACGCUCCGGCAAAACAAAGCCGUCCUUCUCCAAAACCGGGAUCAGCCCAGAGAUGGAUACACCAAGCAAAACAAACACCUCCAGCACCAAACAGCGAACGCUCUUCUCUUCAACCACGGGGCUCCAAAAACACCUCUGAAGCCCCGCGUCCCCCUCAGCUUUGCACCGAAGACAAAACGAAGGCGCGUCCCUUCGCGGUGACAUCUGCCCCAGAAGUCGUCACCCCGCUCCGACCCGACGAGGCUGCCCAAACGAGUGCACUUGGGGCUCUUUUGGGCGACGUCUCCACCCGGGGGUGGCACUCACGCGGACAACCGCGACCGAAGGACCGGAGAGGGGAGGGUUGGGAAGCACCAAAGCACGGGUUGUCUCAAAGCACCGCCGAUCGCUCCUUGCAGGGGGUUCGGUGGCUGCGAGUCGGCCUUCCUCACCC